rnacentral:rRNA from 1 species
AGACAGCAGUAGCCGCGGUAAUACGUAGGUCCCGAGCGUUGUCCGGAUUUAUUGGGCGUAAAGCGAGCGCAGGCGGUUAGAAAAGUCUGAAGUGAAAGGCAGUGGCUCAACCAUUGUAGGCUUUGGAAACUGUUUAACUUGAGUGCAGAAGGGGAGAGUGGAAUUCCAUGUGUAGCGGUGAAAUGCGUAGAUAUAUGGAGGAACACCGGUGGCGAAAGCGGUUCUCUGGUCUGUAACUGACGCUGAGGCUCGAAAGCGUGGGGAGCAAACAGGAUUAGAUACCCGAGUAGUCCCUGUCUCUUAUACA